CUGAUACUUUACGUCCCUGUGAAGAAAAAGUGAUUAAAAUAGUCAUUAGAGUUUAUGUAGCAGUUCCUGGGGGAUGAUAUUUUAGGGGAGAUUGUCACACAAAAUGAACGUUAAGGUGCGCUGUGUCUUUAAGACAAUAUUAGUGAAAAUUGCAACAUGCUCUUAAAACAAUCAAUUAAGGUGCAUAUAUUAUAAAGUGCAAUAGUACUUUGGCGCAAACACAAUGCAAUAUAAGUGCCA